rnacentral:lncRNA from 1 species
CCCUCGUCAAGAGCGUGGAGCAGCUGGAGCUAGGCGGAGACGCGAGCGCGAGGCUGGAGGUGGUGGAGUGCGACCUGGAGAAGCAGGGCGAGGCGGGCAUUGCGGCGGCCAUCGGCGGCGCGUCCCUUGUGGUGUGCUCCAUCGGCGCCAGCGAGAAGGAGAUCCUCGACGUCACGGGCCCCUACCGCAUCGACUACGUGGCCACCGCCAACCUCGUGCGCGCCGCCGCCGCCGCCGCGGGGUCCGUCGACCACUUCGUCCUCGUCACCUCCCUCGGCACCAGCAAGAUCGGCUUCCCCGCUACCCUCUUAAAGUAAUCACCCCCAGAUUCCCCUUCUUUCAUCUGCCAAUUUACGCCUCUUGUGAUCAGUGUUUGGGGCAUGAUCG